GGGGAAUAUUGGACAAUGGGGGCAACCCUGAUCCAGCCAUGCCGCGUGAGUGAAGAAGGCCUUCGGGUUGUAAAGCUCUUUCAGAUGAGACGAUGAUGACGGUAUCAUCAGAAGAAGCCCCGGCUAACUUCGUGCCAGCAGCCGCGGUAAUACGAAGGGGGCUAGCGUUGUUCGGAAUUACUGGGCGUAAAGGGCGCGUAGGCGGUAGUAUAAGAUAGGGGUGAAAUCCCAGAGCUCAACUCUGGAACUGCCCUUAUUACUGUAUAACUAGAGGCCGAGAGAGGGUAGCGGAAUAUCCAGUGUAGAGGUGAAAUUCGUAGAUAUUGGAUAGAACACCGGUGGCGAAGGCGGCUACCUGGCUCGGAACUGACGCUGAGGCGCGAAAGCGUGGGGAGCAAAC
rnacentral:rRNA from 1 species